GGAAAGAUUUAUCGGCCAAGGAUGAGCCCGCGUUGGAUUAGCUACUUGGUGGGGUAAAGGCCUACCAAGGCGACGAUCCAUACCUGGUCUGAGAGGAUGAUCAGCCACAUUGGGACUGAGACACGGCCCAAACUCCUACGGGAGGCACCAGUGGGGAAUAUUGGACAAUGGGCGCAAGCCUGAUCCAGCCAUGCCGCGUGUGUGAUGAAGGCCUUAGGGUUGUAAAGCACUUUCACCGGUGAAGAUAAUGACGGUAACCGGAGAAGAAGCCCCGGCUAACUUCGUGCCAGCAGCCGCGGUAAUACGAAGGGGGCUAGCGUUGUUCGGAAUUACUGGGCGUAAAGCGCACGUAGGCGGAUAUUUAAGUCAGGGGUGAAAUCCCAGAGCUCAACUCUGGAACUGCCUUUGAUACUGGGUAUCUUGAGUAUGGAAGAGGUGAGUGGAAUUCCGAGUGUAGAGGUGAAAUUCGUAGAUAUUCGGAGGAACACCAGUGGCGAAGGCGGCUCACUGGUCCAUAACUGACGCUGAGGUGCGAAAGCGUGGGGAGCAAACAUGAUUAGAUACCCUGGUAGUACACGCCGUAAACGAUGAAUGUUAGCCGUCGGGCAGUUUACUGUUCGGUGGCCCACCUAAUGCAUUAAACAUUCCCCCUGGGGAGUACGGUCGCAAGAUUAAAACUCAAAGGAAUUGACGGGGGGCCCGCACAAGCGGUGGUGCAUGUGGUUUAAUUCUGAAGCAACGCGCAGAACCUUACCAGCCCUUGACAUGUCCGGAUAUCCAGAGAGAUUUGGAGUUCCCUUCGGGGACCGGAGCAGAGGUGCUGCAUUGCUGUCGUCUGCUCGUGUCGUGAGAUGUUGGGUUAAGUCGACGCAACGAGCGCAACCCUCGUCCCUUAGUUUCCUGCAUUUGGUUGGGCACUGUAAGGGGCCUGCCGGUGAUAAGCCGAGGGGAAGGUGGGGAUGAUGUCAAGUCCUCAUGUCCCUUAUGGGCUGGUCUACACACGUGAUACAAUGGAGGAGACAGUGGGCAGCGAGACCGCGGGGUCGAUCUAAUAUACAAAAUCCAUGUCAGUAUGGACGUCUCUAAGUAACUCGAGUGCAGGAG
rnacentral:rRNA from 1 species